AGAGUUUGAUCCUGGCUCAGAACGUACGCUGGCGGCACGCCUAACACAUGCAAGUCGAACGAAGUAGCAAUACUUAGUGGCAGACGGGUGAGUAACAUGUGGGUAUCUACCCUUUGGCCUGGAAUAACACGAGGAAACUUGUGCUAAUACCGGAUAAGUCUUUACGGAGAAAGCUUUAUGCACCAUUGGAUGAGCCCGCACUUGAUUAGUUUGUUGGUAGGGUAAUGGCCUACCAAGACUAUGAUCAAUAGCUGAUUUGAGAGGAUGAUCAGCCACAUUGGGACUGAGACACGGCCCAAACUCCUACGGGAGGCAGCAGUGGGGAAUCUUGCACAAUGGAGGAAACUCUGAUGCAGCGAUGCCGCGUGAGUGAAGAAGGCCUUUGGGUUGUAAAGCUCUUUCGUCGGGGAAGAAAAUGACUGUACCCGAAUAAGAAGGUCCGGCUAACUUCGUGCCAGCAGCCGCGGUAAUACGAAGGGACCUAGCGUAGUUCGGAAUUACUGGGCUUAAAGAGUUCGUAGGUGGUUGAAAAAGUUGGUGGUGAAAUCCCAGAGCUUAACUCUGGAACUGCCAUCAAAACUUUUCAGCUAGAGUAUGAUAGAGGAAAGCAGAAUUUCUAGUGUAGAGGUGAAAUUCGUAGAUAUUAGAAAGAAUACCAAUUGCGAAGGCAGCUUUCUGGAUCAUUACUGACACUGAGGAACGAAAGCAUGGGUAGCGAAGAGGAUUAGAUACCCUCGUAGUCCAUGCCGUAAACGAUGUGUGUUAGACGUUGGAAAUUUAU
rnacentral:rRNA from 1 species